UACGUAGGGGGCAAGCGUUGUCCGGAAUCAUUGGGCGUAAAGAGCGUGUAGGCGGCUUGUUAAGUCUUGCGUGAAAUCUCGGGGCUCAACCCCGAGCGGUCGUGAGAAACUGGCAGGCUAGAGUGCGGGAGAGGAGAGUGGAAUUCCUGGUGUAGCGGUGAAAUGCGCAGAUAUCAGGAAGAACACCCGUGGCGAAGGCGGCUCUCUGGAACGCAACUGACGCUGAGACGCGAAAGCGUGGGAGCAAACAGG
rnacentral:rRNA from 1 species